GCAAAAAGCAGAACGAGAGACCCAAAAAAAGCUGAAAACAUGAACUUUUUUCACUCUUCAGUCCAGCCGCUGCUCUUAAAGAUGCGAGGAGAGCAAGGGGGGAAAUAAAAAAGGGAAAAGGGGAAAAAAUGAGCGGGGCUGGGGAGGCUCGCACCCAAUGCUCAGCCCCUCCCCGAAACACCUCCCCAAAACGCCUCUCCCUCCCCAAAAUGCCUCCCCGAAACGCCUCCGCCUCCCCAAAAUGCCUCCCCCUCCCCCAAAUUCCCCUCUUUUUCUCCCCCCCUGCCCCGCAGGUUCUGCCUGUGCGAGACCAGCUGUCCCCAGGAGGAUUAUUUCCCUCCCAAUUUGUUCGUCAAGGUCAACGGCAAGCUCUGCCCCCUGCCCGGCUACCUCCCACCCACGAAGAACGGCGCCGAGCCCAAGCGCCCCAGCCGCCCCGUCAACAUCACGCCCCUGGCGCGGCUCUCGGCCACCGUCCCCAACACCAUCGUGGUCAACUGGUCGGCGGAGUUCGGCCGGGUGGGUGAGCAGCCCCCAGGGAGGGGAGGGCGAGGAAAUGAACCCCAAAAUUACAAAAUUAAAAUUAAAUUGACAUCAAACACCACCCCCCACCCAGCCAGGCAGCACCAGCGCUGCCUGCGCGCCGUGGAUGCUCCCCGUGGGGUGCUGGCGCUGGGGAGGGGGGGACGUGGGGCUGUAUUUAGGGGGACAGCCGGUCCCGGGGGGGGGUCCUAUGUGUCCAGCUGAGCCGUGGCCCCUCUCCUGCAGCACUACUCGCUGUCGGUGUACCUGGUGAAGCAGCUGACCUCGGUGACUCUGCUGCAGAAGCUGCGCGCCAAGGGCAUCCGCAACCCCGACCACUCGCGAGCCCUCAGUAAGUGCCCUGGGGGGG
rnacentral:lncRNA from 1 species